rnacentral:rRNA from 1 species
AUUGAACGCUGGCGGCAUGCCUUACACAUGCAAGUCGAACGGUAACAGGUCUUCGGAUGCUGACGAGUGGCGAACGGGUGAGUAAUACAUCGGAACGUGCCUAGUAGUGGGGGAUAACUACUCGAAAGAGUGGCUAAUACCGCAUGAGAUCCACGGAUGAAAGCAGGGGAUCGCAAGACCUUGUGCUACUAGAGCGGCCGAUGGCAGAUUAGGUAGUUGGUGGGAUAAAAGCUUACCAAGCCGACGAUCUGUAGCUGGUCUGAGAGGACGAUCAGCCACAUUGGGACUGAGACACGGCCCAGACUCCUACGGGAGGCAGCAGUGGGGAAUUUUGGACAAUGGGCGCAAGCCUGAUCCAGCAAUGCCCCGUGCAGGAUGAAGGCCUUCGGGUUGUAAACUGCUUUUGUACGGAACGAAAAGCCCUGGGUUAAUACCCUGGGGUCAUGACGGUACCGUAAGAAUAAGCACCGGCUAACUACGUGCCAGCAGCCGCAGUAAAAC